AUUGAACGCUGGCGGCAUGCCUUACACAUGCAAGUCGAACGGUAACAGGUCUUCGGAUGCUGACGAGUGGCGAACGGGUGAGUAAUACAUCGGAACGUGCCCAAGAGUGGGGGAUAACGGAGCGAAAGCUUUGCUAAUACCGCAUACGAUCUCAGGAUGAAAGCAGGGGACCGCAAGGCCGUGCGCUGACGGAGCGGCCGAUGGCAGAUGAGGUCGUUGGUGGGAUAAAAGCUUACCAAGGCGGCAAUCUGUAGCUGGUCUGAGAGGACGACCAGCAACACUGGGACUGAGACACGGCCCAGACUCCUACGGGAGGCAGCAGUGGGGAAUUUUGGACAAUGGGGGAAACCCUGAUCCAGCAACUCUGCGUGAGGGACGAAGAUCUUCGGAUUGUAAACCUCUUUUUAACGGGACGAAUACCCGCAAGGGUUCGACGGUACCGUUAGAAUAAGCCACGGCUAACUAUGUGCCAGCCGCCGCCGUAAUAC
rnacentral:rRNA from 1 species